AGCAUCCGCGGUAAUUCCAGCUCCAAUAGCGUAUAUUAAAGUUGCUGCAGUUAAAAAGCUCGUAGUUGAAUUUCGGGACCAUCAUGUCGGUCGUGCCUCGGUACGUACUGGCAUUGUUGGUUUCUCCCUUCUGACGAACCAUGAUGUCAUUUAUUUGGUGUCGUGGGAAAUCAGGACUGUUACUUUGAAAAAUUAGAGUGUUUAAAGCAGGCUCACGCUUGAAUACAUUAGCAUGGAAUAAUGAAAUAGGACGUUUGAUUCUAUUUUGUUGGUUUCUAGGAUCGACGUAAUGAUUAAUAGGGAUAGUUGGGGGCAUUAGUAUUCAAUUGUCAGAGGUGAAAUUCUUGGAUUUAUUGAAGACUAACUACUGCGAAAGCAUUUGCCAAGGAUGUUUUCAUUAAUCAAGAACGAAAGUUAGGGGAUCGAAGACGAUCAGAUACCGUCGUAGUCUUAACCAUAAACUAUGCCGACUAGGGAUCGGAUGAUGUUAAUUUUUAAUGACUCAUUC
rnacentral:misc_RNA from 1 species